UAGGGAAUCUUCGGCAAUGGACGGAAGUCUGACCGAGCAACGCCGCGUGAGUGAAGAAGGUUUUCGGAUCGUAAAGCCCUGUUGUUAGAGAAGAACGUUGGUAGGAGUGGAAAAUCUACCAAGGGACGGAAACUAACCAGAAAGGGACGGCUAACUACGUGCCAGCAGCAGCGGUAUAACGUAGGUCCCGAGCGUUGUCCGGACUUCUUGGGCGUAAAGCGAGCGCAGGCGGUUCUUUAAGUCUGAAGUUAAAGGCAGUGGCUUAACAAAUCUGAAGUUAAAAGAAGUGGCUUAACCAUUUUACGAAUUGGAAACUGGAGGACUUGAGUGCAGAAGGGGAGAGUGGAAUUCCAUGUGGAGCGGUGAUAUGCGUAGAUAUAUGAAGGAACACCGGUAGCAAGAGCGGCUCUAUGGUCUGUAACUGACGCUGAGGCUCGAAAGCGUGGGGAGCAAACAGG
rnacentral:rRNA from 1 species